rnacentral:rRNA from 1 species
GACGAACGCUGGCGGCGUGCUUAACACAUGCAAGUCGAACGGUGAAGCGCCUUCCUUUUUGGUGGGUGUGGAUGAGUGGCGAACGGGUGAGUAACACGUGAGUAACCUGCCCCCUUCUUCUGGAUAACCGCAUGAAAGUGUGGCUAAUACGGGAUAUUCUGGGUCUGUCGCAUGAUGGGUCUGGGAAAGAUAUUGUUUCGGUGGGGGAUGGGCUCGCGGCCUAUCAGCUUGUUGGUGGGGUGAUGGCCUACCAAGGCGGUGACGGGUAGCCGGCCUGAGAGGGUGGACGGUCCCACUGGGACUGCGACACGGCCCCGCCUCCUACGGGCGGCAGCGGUGGGGAAUAUUGCACAAUGGGCGCAAGCCUGAUGCAGCGCCGCCGCGUGAGGGAUGGAGGCCUUCGGGUUGUGAACCUCUUUCGCCAGUGAAGCAGGCCUGCCUCGUUUGUGGGUGGGUUGACGGUAGCUGGAUAAGAAGCGCCGGCUAACUACGUG